UACAGAGGUGGCAAGCGUUGUUCGGAAUUACUGGGCGUAAAGGGCGCGUAGGCGGUUCGUUAAGUCCUGUGUGAAAUCCCCCGGCUCAACUGGGGAACUGCACAGGAAACUAGCGGGCUUGAGUUCGGGAGAGGGAAGCGGAAUUCCACGUGUAGCAGUGAAAUGCGUAGAGAUGUGGAGGAACACCGAUGGCGAAGGCAGCCCCCUGGGCUAACACUGACGCUCAGGCACGAAAGCGUGGGGAGCAAACAGG
rnacentral:rRNA from 1 species